rnacentral:lncRNA from 1 species
CUCUCCCCGCCCCGAAGCCGCCUGCUCAACCUGAGGGCCACCGGCCUCUAUCCGUCGGUGCCGAUGCUCCUUGCUUCCCAGCCAGAGCGUCUCAUCUCUGGGCCCGGAGCCCCAGGCUCGUUCUCCUCAGCCCCUGCCGGCGGCGGCGCUCUUGCAGCCAUUCCUGUGAGGUCGUUUUUCGGAGCAGCCGGGCCGGCCGAGGAUCUCUUCCUGAACCAGUGACAGUGGUUCUCAAACAUUUUGGUCUGAGGACCCCUUUAUGGCCUUAAAAAUGAUCGAAGAGCUUUUAUUUAUGAAGGUAAUACCUGCUAAUACUUGUUGUAAUCUAUUAACAUUGAGAAAUGUAAAAAUUUUUAUUAAUUCACUUAAAAUAUCAAUAAACCCAUUAUUUGCUAAUAUAAAUUGCACUUUUUAAUGAAAAAUAACUUUAGUUUCUACUGUGUGCUUCUGCAUUUUGAAAAUAUGUCUAGGAUACGGUAUGUAUUUAGGAGAUAUUUUCUAAAUAAAUGCAUAUUCAUUUUUUAAAAUGGGACAAAUGUAGCAUAGACAUAUUUUUGCUAACAAUAUCCAUAUAGUUGCAAAUUUCACUUUUAGAAUUUGCUUUCAAAAACAGGUUGUUUAUUCUUCUUUGUUAUGCCUUAGUUAGUAAAUCAUAUAUUAUAAAACUUCUUCAAUGCAAUUGGUCUUUGGUCAGCCAUUGACAUAGGAAGAGUUAGAAAGAGUCCAGGGCUCCUUGGUACUGGCUGUGACUGGAUAAGUAGGUUGUGGCUUAGUUUGUGUUUAGGUGUCAUAACUAGGCUAGGUUUGGGUCCCAGAAAGUGCUAGCCUUACUGUAGGAGAGGAAGUGGUAUUGCUGGGUGUGUCCUCAGGUCAGGAAGUGGGACGAGUGCAGUAUGGAAGCCCAGGGGGGUCCUUGUGACUGGAGGAAAGGUGAGGUUUCCAGUAAAGGAUUCAGAAUUCGGGCAUGGUGCAGCAUGCCUAUAGCCCCAGCUACUCAGGAGGCUGAAGUGGGAGGAUCACUUGAGACCAGGAGUUCAAGGUUGC